rnacentral:tRNA from 1 species
GGUCGUGUAGCUCAGUUGGCUAGAGCGCUACAUUCACAUUGUAGAAGUCAGAGGUUCGAGUCCUCUCACGACCA